CCCACGGGAGGCUGCAGUGGGGAAUAUUGGACAAUGGGGGGAACCCUGAUCCAGCCAUGCCGCGUGUGUGAAGAAGGCCCUCGGGUUGUAAAGCACUUUCAGUGAGGAAGAACGCCUGGUGGUUAAUACCCAUCAGGAAAGACAUCACUCACAGAAGAAGCACCGGCUAACUCCGUGCCAGCAGCCGCGGUAAUACGGAGGGUGCGAGCGUUAAUCGGAAUUACUGGGCGUAAAGCGCGCGUAGGUGGCUUGAUAAGCCGGUUGUGAAAGCCCCGGGCUCAACCUGGGAACGGCAUCCGGAACUGUCAAGCUAGAGUGCAGGAGAGGAAGGUAGAAUUCCCGGUGUAGCGGUGAAAUGCGUAGAGAUCGGGAGGAAUACCAGUGGCGAAGGCGGCCUUCUGGACUGACACUGACACUGAGGUGCGAAAGCGUGGGUAGCAAACAGGAUUAGAUACCCUAGUAGUC
rnacentral:rRNA from 1 species